rnacentral:rRNA from 1 species
CCUACGGGUGGCAGCAGUAAGGAAUAUUGGUCAAUGGACGAAAGUCUGAACCAGCCAUGCCGCGUGGAGGAUGAAGGUCCUCUGGAUUGUAAACUUCUUUUAUAUGGGACGAAAAAAGGCUUUUCUAGGUCGUCUGACGGUACCAUAUGAAUAAGCACCGGCUAACUCCGUGCCAGCAGCCGCGGUAAUACGGAGGGUGCCGGCGUUAUCCGGGUUCACUGGGUUGAAGGGGGGUGUAGGAGGCAGUGUUGAAAUCCCCGAGCUUAACUUGGGAACUGCCAUUGAUACUAUCAGUCUUGAGUACCGUGGAGGUCAGCGGAAUAUGUCAUGUAGCGGUGAAAUGCUUAGAUAUGACAUAGAACACCAAUUGCGAAGGCAGCUGGCUACCCGAAUAUUGACACUGAGGCACGAAAGCGUGGGGAUCAAACAGGAUUAGAUACCCUUGUAGUC